ACGAACGCUGGCGGCGUGCUUAACACAUGCCAGUCGCACGGAAAGGCCCUGCUUUUGUGGGGUGCUCGAGUGGCGAACGGGUGAGUAACACGUGAGUAACCUGCCCUUGACUUUGGGAUAACUUCAGGAAACUGGGGCUAAUACCGGAUAGGAGCUCCUGCUGCAUGGUGGGGGGUGGAAAGGUUCGGCGGUUGGGGAUGGACUCGCGGCUUAUCAGCUUGUUGGUGGGGUAGUGGCUUACCAAGGCUUUGACGGGUAGCCGGCCUGAGAGGGUGACCGGCCACAUUGGGACUGAGAUACGGCCCAGACUCCUACGGGAGGCAGCAGUGGGGAAUAUUGCACAAUGGGCGGAAGCCUGAUGCAGCAACGCCGCGUGCGGGAUGACGGCCUUCGGGUUGUAAACCGCUUUCGCCUGGGACGAAGCGUGAGUGACGGUAAUGGGUAAAGAAGCACCGGCUAACUACG
rnacentral:rRNA from 1 species